GACCAUUCUGGUGGCCUAGUGGUAGAGCAUCCACCUUGGAUGUGGGAGGUUGUGGGUUCGAACCAUGGCCAAGCCA